UUUUGUUGUUAUCUACAUUUGGAAGAAUAUGCCAAAGGCGAUAUUAGGAAACUGCUUCGCAAUAACGUUAUACAGACCAACAUUGACCUAUGGUAAAGAGAGAGUCCGGUGCUGAACGAAUCUCAAAAAAACCAGACUACAAGGAUCUUGACUGAUAGCUAAAGUAGAGGUUUGCUUUCAAGUUGGCGCUAUAAUGUAUUUAACUGGAAUUCACAGUAGUGACCGAAGGCUUUAAUUCGAGAAGAAGAACAUAUUCUUUCCGAGAAUACAGCGACAUUUGGUUUGUAAUAUGGAAGUCAGCAGGAACUGCGCGCUUGCGUUUGCGCAGUACAGGGAGUCAGUGUGGAACACAUCUGCAAGUUGCCAUCCCACCCCACUACUGCAGUGGCGUACCGUCGGUCAUUGGUGUCCAGGGCGGAAUAUAAACUUGCCGCCCUAAUGAGAAAGGCGAGGGGAGU